rnacentral:ncRNA from 1 species
AAUUGAGUAGGUUCUUUUUAAGCAAUUAGAAAGUUAAAAUGGAAAAUGGUGAAAAUCCAUUACAGCCCAACGUUACUGUAAUACUGAUGAAACCUUUAAAACCACUGAGAUAAAAGUCUUGGGAAGGAAAGGGAGUAAAAAGAAGUUAAGUCAGGAAACAUGCCUAUUUAG